rnacentral:rRNA from 1 species
GAUGAACGCUAGCUACAGGCUUAACACAUGCAAGUCGAGGGGCAUCAGGAAGAAAGCUUGCUUUCUUUGCUGGCGACCGGCGCACGGGUGAGUAACACGUAUCCAACCUGCCCUUUACUCGGGGAUAGCCUUUCGAAAGAAAGAUUAAUACCCGAUAGUAUAAUGAUUCCGCAUGGUUUGAUUAUUAAAGGAUUCCGGUAAAGGAUGGGGAUGCGUUCCAUUAGGUUGUUGGUGAGGUAACGGCUCACCAAGCCUUCGAUGGAUAGGGGUUCUGAGAGGAAGGUCCCCCACAUUGGAACUGAGACACGGUCCAAACUCCUACGGGAGGCAGCAGUGAGGAAUAUUGGUCAAUGGGCGGUAGCCUGAACCAGCCAAGUAGCGUGAAGGAUGAAGGCUCUAUGGGUCGUAAACUUCUUUUAUAUAAGAAUAAAGUGCAGUAUGUAUACUGUUUUGUAUGUAUUAUAUGAAUAAGGAUCGGCUAACUCCGUGCCAGCAGCCGCGGUAAUACGGAGGAUCCGAGCGUUAUCCGGAUUUAUUGGGUUUAAAGGGAGCGUAGGUGGACUGGUAAGUCAGUUGUGAAAGUUUGCGGCUCAACCGUAAAAUUGCAGUUGAUACUGUCAGUCUUGAGUACAGUAGAGGUGGGCGGAAUUCGUGGUGUAGCGGUGAAAUGCUUAGAUAUCACGAAGAACUCCGAUUGCGAAGGCAGCUCACUGGACUGCAACUGACACUGAUGCUCGAAAGUGUGGGUAUCAAACAGGAUUAGAUACCCUGGUAGUCCACACAGUAAACGAUGAAUACUCGCUGUUUGCGAUAUACAGUAAGCGGCCAAGCGAAAGCAUUAAGUAUUCCACCUGGGGAGUACGCCGGCAACGGUGAAACUCAAAGGAAUUGACGGGGGCCCGCACAAGCGGAGGAACAUGUGGUUUAAUUCGAUGAUACGCGAGGAACCUUACCCGGGCUUAAAUUGCAACAGAAUAUAUUGGAAACAGUAUAGCCGUAAGGCUGUUGUGAAGGUGCUGCAUGGUUGUCGUCAGCUCGUGCCGUGAGGUGUCGGCUUAAGUGCCAUAACGAGCGCAACCCUUAUCUUUAGUUACUAACAGGUUAUGCUGAGGACUCUAGAGAGACUGCCGUCGUAAGAUGUGAGGAAGGUGGGGAUGACGUCAAAUCAGCACGGCCCUUACGUCCGGGGCUACACACGUGUUACAAUGGGGGGUACAGAAGGCAGCUACCUGGUGACAGGAUGCUAAUCCCAAAAUCCUCUCUCGGUUCGGAUCGAAGUCUGCAACCCGACUUCAUGAAGCUGGAUUCGCUAGUAAUCGCGCAUCAGCCACGGCGCGGUGAAUACGUUCCCGGGCCU